rnacentral:rRNA from 1 species
GACGAACGCUGGCGGCGUGCUUAACACAUGCAAGUCGAACGGAAAGGCCCUGCUUUUGUGGGGUGCUCGAGUGGCGAACGGGUGAGUAACACGUGAGUAACCUGCCCUUGACUUUGGGAUAACUUCAGGAAACUGGGGCUAAUACCGGAUAGGAGCUCCUGCUGCAUGGUGGGGGUUGGAAAGUUUCGGCGGUUGGGGAUGGACUCGCGGCUUAUCAGCUUGUUGGUGGGGUAGUGGCUUACCAAGGCUUUGACGGGUAGCCGGCCUGAGAGGGUGACCGGCCACCUUAGGACUGAGAUACGGCCCAGACUCCUACGGGAGGCAGCAGUGGGAAAUAUUGCACAAUGGGCGGAAGCCUGAUGCAGCAACGCCGCGUGCGGGAUGACGGCCUUCGGGUUGUAAACCGCAUUCGCCUGUGACGAAGCGUGAGUGACGGUAAUGGGUAAAGAAGCACCGGCUAACUACGUG